AUGGCGAUGAGGAAGGAGGCAGUGCCAGUGGUGGCCGUGAUGCUAAUGCUGGUGGUGCUGGCCCCAGGCAAGGCGCGGGCGGCGUGCGAGGUGACGCAGCUGGCGGUGUGCGCGUCGGCGAUCCUGGGCGGGACGAAGCCCAGCGGCGAGUGCUGCGGCAACCUGCGGGCGCAGCAGGGGUGCUUCUGCCAGUACGUCAAGGACCCCAACUACGGGCACUACGUCAACAGCCCCCACGCCCGCGAGACACUCCAGACCUGCGGCAUCGCCCUCCCGCACUGCUAG
rnacentral:rRNA from 1 species